GUCGCCUCCUAAAAGGUAACGGAGGCGCUCAAAGGUUCCCUCAGAAUGGUUGGAAAUCAUUCAUAGAGUGUAAAGGCAUAAGGGAGCUUGACUGCGAGACCUACAAGUCGAGCAGGGUCGAAAGACGGACUUAGUGAUCCGGUGGUUCCGCAUGGAAGGGCCAUCGCUCAACGGAUAAAAGCUACCCCGGGGAUAACAGGCUUAUCUCCCCCAAGAGUUCACAUCGACGGGGAGGUUUGGCACCUCGAUGUCGGCUCAUCGCAUCCUGGGGCUGUAGUCGGUCCCAAGGGUUGGGCUGUUCGCCCAUUAAAGCGGUACGCGAGCUGGGUUCAGAACGUCGUGAGACAGUUCGGUCCC
rnacentral:rRNA from 1 species